GACGAACGCUGGCGGCAGGCUUAACACAUGCAAGUCGAGCGCCCUCUUCGGAGGGAGCGGCAGACGGGUGAGUAACGCGUGGGAACGUGCCCUUCGGUUCGGAAUAGCCCCGGGAAACUGGGUGUAAUACCGAAUACGACCUCCGGGUGAAAGAUUUAUCGCCGAAGGAUCGGCCCGCGUUAGAUUAGCUAGUUGGUGAGGUAAAGGCUUACCAAGGCGACGAUCUAUAGCUGGUUUGAGAGGACGACCAGCCACACUGGGACUGAGACACGGCCCAGACUCCUACGGGAGGCAGCAGUGGGGAAUAUUGGACAAUGGGCGAAAGCCUGAUCCAGCCAUGCCGCGUGGAUGAAGAAGGCCCUAGGGUUGUAAAAUCCUUUCGCUAGGGAAGAUAAUGACGGUACCUAGUAAAGAAGCCCCGGCUAAUUUCG
rnacentral:rRNA from 1 species